GACGCUUUAGCUCAGUGGGAGAGCGAGCGAGUGAAGCUUAAGCCCAAUUCGUUCGGUCGUGUGUUCAAUCCACACAAGCGUCA
rnacentral:tRNA from 1 species